GCGUACUUCUCCUCGAGCGUAUCGUGCCCGGGAAACGACGAAUUCACUAUGUUUACCAUACAGGUUAAUCUUUGUGUUCCCAGAUCCUGGACAGGAGCGCUCAGGCUGCGCAACGACCUGCGCCGUGGUGACGAGUGGUCUCGCUCGUUACCUGGUCGACCCAGGCAAGCUGGUCGGCGGGGUGCUCGGGGAGUCCGCAGCCUCGGACACGUGCGAACCUCGCGUCGUGGCUGGCACUCAAGCUGUGCGGGGGACAACUCCAGGAAAACGCCUUCAUCACCGGGACCCGAGGAAAAUGCUCCGAAAGACGUGGAUACAGAGCCAAUUGUGUUGCGCCUUGGGCGUUGUCGACGUUGUGGCGAGCUGUUCGAAGAGCGUCUCAACCACAAGCGAGCUUGUCGUUUCCACGGACACCCGCUUGGCGACCGCGGCUACUAUCGAUUGUUCAUGGUGCCUCGCGAAGAAGCCGAAGCCUCACUCACCUGGCCCGAGUACGGAAGAGAUACGGGCUCAGCGAGUCGGUGGGUCCUCCAGUAUCGCUGGUCGUGCUGCGGGAGCACGCAUCCGGACUCGCUUGGUUGUCGCCUUGAUCGCCACCUUAGCUGGGAUGCAGAGCUUAAGUCAUAUGAAGGCGUUUUGAACGAUGCACAGUUGGCUGCGUGGAAGCUGCGAUCGCAGUGGGGCUAACGCUGGCGCAGAUGCAUCCGCGCUGCUUCAAUCGUGUCUGUGGUGGACAGGAGAGAGCGUCCACGCGAUAGUGUGUCCAUCGCUCCUUUCAGAAACGUAUGCUGUUACCGAAAGAGCAUGUUCACAAGCGAACACGGGCGGUCCCCUCACUGCAGGACGACAGGGCGGUGUAGCGCUUUCGUACGAGCCCGGAUCCUGCUUUCGAUGGAUGCGUAAAAUGCCACUGCGGACGCAUACUUGCUUCGGUACCGCGGCACCAGAAAACACAUGGCAUAAGUUGAAGGGAAUGCUUCAGGAAGCUGUGCCCGUACUGGUCACAACCAAUCGCUGAAGCUGUGCACCUCGCUCAAACAAUGAUGGUGCCUGCCCGAAAGCAUGCCGAGUGAGACGGCGAUUACAAGCCGCAUACGGAUAGCGAUGUCUUCAGAAUCUCCUACGAUGCAGCGGUGAGGAAGUAAUACUUUGUAGCGGCCUGAGUGAGGCCCAGUGCCAAUGAUCCCACAAAUCGAUGCAUUCGGCCGCGACGCAUCCACGGCAAAAGCACACAGCGAACGAUAACGUUGGAGUAUACGGGUUCUCGUAACAGGUACAAGAGCAGCGGCGAAGGUGGUGGUAUCCGGACCCCUUCUCGGUGUGAAAUGUCGCCAGCAGGCGAGCCGUCACCGCCACCCUGCAACAACCAGCGCCUCGAUAUCACAUCCAGCAUGAACGAAAUGAGCCAACUACUCCACGGUGCGACACGUGGCACAAAGGCAAGAUAGAUAACUGGUCGCCAAACGCGGAUCCAAGUGGCGAUCUUGGAACGGAGAUCGUCACCGGGAACCCAUACGAAGGGUGCAGCACCUGCAGCGCUUCGCCGGUUCCUCUGCGCAUUUUGCUCGUGAAUGCUCUGUAGGUAGCGUUCAGUCGCCGCCCAGAGUCGUUCAGCCAUAACGAGCCCGCGCCGAUCAGCAACAAACAUGAAGAUGUCCUCAAUCGGUACUGAGGCGGCUGCAGUCGGAUGCCUCUGAUCCAUGUUCGCGUAUUUGGAACAGGUUUGCUCCGCACAUGCCUGCUCAUCAGCGACGGUUGCUUGACUGGGCCGCCUCAAUGGAGGGGGUUCAGUUGGCGUUAUGUCACCAAGAACCGUUGUUGUUGUUGUUGUUGUUGGACGUAUUGAGGUGAAAAAUGAACGUCCACUGCGCUCGCCGCGCCGAGGAACAAUCCGGAGUUGCAGUGCUCCCUGUCGCUCCCAGUCGAGCAGCAUCUUCUUGAUCUGUGCACGUUCAUUCUGCGCACAGUCAUAUGCACCUCUUGUUGAGGAGAGGUUGUUCGUCUGCUCGGGAACGGCGGUUCGCAGGACCGCCUUGAGCGUUUCAAGGACCAGUACCAUGUUGUAGGAGCGUCGGAAGCCUCUGGAAUAGUGGGUGCGCGCAUGCGCCGACUCAAGCGCGUUUCCUAGGUUUGCAGCUCGCACUCGAGUACCAAUCCAGGAAUAAAACCAAUGGUUUUGGCG